CAAACAACAGGGAAACAUCCACCGGAGCAGCAGUGCCCAGCAGAGAGGAGCAGCCCAACGCCCCCUCUUUUCCCUCGCUGCCGCCUGCGGUCACCUCAGUCCCUUGUAAAUGACACCCGCUGAAAUCCCCCCUCAGCUCCCUCCCAAGCAGCCAGCCCCCUACUGAAAUGCUAAUCGCGACUAACCCCUCCCCCCCUCCACACGCACAUUUUCUUGUUUCUCUUCCCCCCUCCCUGACUUUGAAGACCAGAUGCUCCAGGAGGUGGUUUUUGCUUGUUGCCGCUUGAAAAUCUCUUGGAGUUUGCUUUGCUUAAGGUUUUCUUGCAAGUGGACUUUUCUUCCCGGCUUUCUUUGAGGCUGAAGGGGGGGCGGGGGGAGAGCUACUUGCUUGUGGAUUUCAAAGCAGCUGUUGCAGAGCUGUUCGUCGUGUUCCUGCCUUUCCCUUUCUGUGAGGAAGCGAGAGGGGAUAAUGUGAGAGAAGAGGAGGGAAGCAGGAGCUGUGGUGCAUGCACAAUAUGUAUCCAGCCAGCCUGACUUUUCAAUGGCUCAGUUCCCCGGGCGUGAUGGUUUGACCAAAACAGAACACUGCAUACAAGCAUCUGAAACUUCAUACCACAUCUCAGCCAGUGACACCAUCUUUCCAGAAAGCCGUAGGGUAAGCAGUUUUUCAGAGUGACUCUGAAUGCAGUUGAAAGCUUUGGUAAGAUCUAUAAAGCAUAAGACUAAUCUUCUCU